rnacentral:rRNA from 1 species
GAUCAUGGCUCAGGACGAACGCUGGCGGCAUGCCUAACACAUGCAAGUCGAACGGAGUAAUGACUUCGGUUAUACUUAGUGGCGAACGGGUGAGUAACACGUGAAUAAUCUGCCCUGUACGAUGGGAUAACAGCUGGAAACGGCUGCUAAUACCGUAUAUGACCACGCCGAGGCAUCUCGGAGGGGUGAAAGCGCUUAAGCGGUACAGGAUGAGUUCGCGUCCAAUUAGCUAGUUGGUGAGGUAACGGCCCACCAAGGCGACGAUUGGUAGCCGACCUGAGAGGGUGAUCGGCCACACUGGAACUGAGACACGGUCCAGACUCCUACGGGAGGCAGCAGUGGGGAAUAUUGGGCAAUGGAGGAAACUCUUUAACCCCCAGCAAUGCCGCGUGAGUGAUGAAGGUCUUCGGAUUGUAAAGCUCUUUGAUUGGGGACGAAUAAAUGACGGUACCCAAGGAACAAGCCCCGGCUAACUAUGUGCCAGCCGCUGC